AUACGGAGGGCGCGAACGUUGCUCGGAAUCAUUGGGCGUAAAGCGCACGUAGGCGGCCUGAUAAGUCGGAUGUGAAAGCCCACGGCUCAACCGUGGAAGUGCAUUCGAAACUGUCAGGCUUGAGUAUGCGAGAGGGUUGCGGAAUUCCCGGUGUAGAGGUGAAAUUCGUAGAUAUCGGGAGGAACACCAGCGGCGAAGGCGGCAGCCUGGACCAAUACUGACGCUGAGGUGCGAAAGCGUGGGGAGCAAACAGGAUUAGAAACCCUAGUAGUCC
rnacentral:rRNA from 1 species